GAGAAGAGAUAUAAAAGGGUCUGUAUGUUGUGUGUGUGUGUGUGUGUGUGUGUGUGUGUGAAACUCUUGUGUUCUUGAGGUAUGUGUAACCAUGUCAGAAUGGUGUACAGUUAGGAGCGGUCCCGAAACAACACAGGGUUUGAAAUUGGAAUGUAACACUUUGAUUGAUUAUUUGUUUUCCAGAAAGCAUUGCUACCGGUAAUUGGUCACCCAAGACCAAACCAACAGCACAUGAAUACGUUGAAUUGUCUUUGUUUACUGAUGAAAAACAAUCCACUACCCUCACUUCUGUGCAUUUGUAUCCAUGCUUUUCUUAAUGACUUACAGAUUCCCUUUUUUGUCUUGACUGCUGGAAAUGAUCCCAUUACCUUUGAAAGUUCCAGUACCGACAGGCUACCGUAGAGUUAGAGAAGGCAAUAAAAUGGGUUGAAAAUGUAAGCAUACGUAGCAUCACUUAAAGUACGUACUGUUGCACUACUGUCUCCUUGAUCGAUGUUUUGUGUUUAAACAUAGCAAUGUAUUUUUGGGGACCAAUGGCUUUGGGAUAUGAAUGUAUAAAAGCUGGGAUAUUACAAUGGAGAUGUGUGCUUAAUAACUUCCCAUAGAAACGUGCUGGUGGUCCAUGUCUUCUUUCACAUACAGCCUCACACACAGCCACAGAUCUGAUGCUUUGAGUCUGUUCAUCGUAAACAUUUACAGUUUUUAUACAUUUGACAUUUUUUUUAUAUGCAUCCUAAAUAACAAACAAUUUAAAUAUACCUGAUGUGGGUGAGGGUUAUAAUUAGAUUAUGAUCAGGGCCAGAUGACAUGUUGUUGACUGUAAGGAUUUCAACUGUAUAUUGAAAUGUGUCCAUAUUGUAAAUAUUUGUUAAAGCGCUAUUAAUCACAUAAUGGCUCAUUGACAUUAAGCAGUUUUGCUGCCCGAUUUCUACUUUCAUCACAUAGCUGGAGGUUUCCCUCUCAGUAUCAGAGAUGGAGAGUUCCCUCUGUAGGCUUUUUAAUUGAAAAAAGAUUGAGAAAGACAGGACAAAAUAGAACUGUUCAUUUUUUCCUGUUACGCUGUGAAAGAGUGGGCAUUUUUACAAUAUGAAGUGAUUUGUUCCACUUGACCAUUCUGAUAACAUUACAUUUAUGCAUCACAUGAUUGUUACUUUAAUCUAGGAUACUUAAUCUAGUUCCAGCUUCAGCAUAAUGUUUUGAUAAGGCGCUAUUGACAGUUAUGCCCUAUUUUCCGGGGAGUAUCCCCUCUUAAUGGGAUUUUUAUUAUAAUUGUGAUGAUGUCAGAGUGUCCGAGCAUUGCGGGCUAAUAACAAUAACAAGCGGUUUGCUCUUUCGGGAGACUGCAUGUCCAGAUGUACAAGGAGGAUUAUCGCCUGAAAAUAACAGAAUGUUGACACGUCCAGGCAUUGCUUUGCCCCUAACUUAUUUGCUGUUGGUUAUGAUGGGCGGAUUAUGCUUUGCUGCGACCACCUUGCGCAGUUUUCGUGGCUGCGCUGUGCGCGAGUUCUCCUUUGUAGCGCAUAAACCUGGCUGCAGGGGUCUGCGCGUGCACACAGAGGCGUGCUGGGGGAGAUGCCAAACUUGGGAGAAACCUUUACCGGAGCCACCGUAUAUUCAGCGCCACCACCGAGUCUGCACCUACAGCCGCACGCGCCACCUGACUGCCCGACUCCCUGGCUGCCAUCCGAACAUCUCUCCACUCUACCACUACCCACACGCCCUGCAGUGUGACUGCGCUGUCUGCUCGACUCACCAUACUGAGUGCCAGACCUUCUGAAGGGGCCAAGGCGAAAAGAUAUAACAGCAGGCUACGUUAUAGUCAUUAAGAUUAACCUAAUGAUAUUGCAUAAUGAUACUACUCUUUUGCAUUGCAUCACUGAUAGACUAAUAUUAACACAAGUGUUAUUGUCAGACUUCCUUAUUCUCUUGUUACUCAGCGCUUCACUGCAAACUAACUCGGCCAACCCAAUAACACACGUCUCAGCCUCCCCAUACUGUAUAAAAUGUGUACAGGCUGUUUUGCACAAGUGUUUUGUAACAAUUUGUAUCAUUGUACUUCUGGAAUUUGCUCACUAGUCUAUAGUCAAUGGACUAUAGUUUAUAGUACAGGCUAUAGACACUAAACUAGUCUAUUGAUGUGUUUCAAGUAAUAAAUGCAUCAUCAGAG